UACAGAGGGUGCAAGCGUUAAUCGGAUUUACUGGGCGUAAAGAGCGCGCAGGCGGUCGUUCAAGUCGAGUGUGAAAGCCCCCGGCUUAACUGGGGAGGUCAUUCGAUACUGAUCGACUCGAAGGCAGGAGAGGGUAGUGGAAUUCCCGGUGUAGUGGUGGAAAAUGCGUGAGAUAUCGGGAGGAACACCAAGUGGCGAAGGCGGGCGAC
rnacentral:rRNA from 1 species